GUCCUUGAAAUACCACCCUUGUAGUGUUGAUGUUCUAACGUUGACCCCUAAUCGGGGUUGCGGACAGUGCCUGGUGGGUAGUUUGACUGGGGCGGUCUCCUCCCAAAGCGUAACGGAGGAGCACGAAGGUGGGCUAAUCACGGUUGGACAUCGUGAGGUUAGUGCAAUGGCAUAAGCCCGCUUGACUGCGAGAAUGACGGUUCGAGCAGGUGCGAAAGCAGGUCAUAGUGAUCCGGUGGUUCUGAAUGGAAGGGCCAUCGCUCAACGGAUAAAAGGUACUCCGGGGAUAACAGGCUGAUACCGCCCAAGAGUUCAUAUCGACGGCGGUGUUUGGCACCUCGAUGUCGGCUCAUCACAUCCUGGGGCUGAAGUCGGUCCCAAGGGUAUGGCUGUUCGCCAUUUAAAGUGGUACGCGAGCUGGGUUUAGAACGUCGUGAGACAGUUCGGUCCCUAUCUGCCGUGGGCGUUGGAAGAUUGAAGGGGGCUGCUCCUAGUACGAGAGGACCGGAGUGGACGAACCUCUGGUGUUCGGGUUGUGUCGCCAGACGCAUUGCCCGGUAGCUAAGUUCGGAAUCGAUAACCGCUGAAAGCAUCUAAGCGGGAAGCGAGCCCUGAGAUGAGUCUUCCCUGAUACUUUAAGUAUCCUAAAGGGUUGUUCGAGACUAGAACGUUGAUAGGCAGGGUGUGUAAGCGUUGUGAGGCGUUGAGCUAACCUGUACUAAUUGCCCGUGAGGCUUAACCAU
rnacentral:rRNA from 1 species